ACGAGCUCGGUAGUGCAACGGUUAGCAUACGCUCCCGGAAAGAGUGAGAUCUGGGUUCGAAUUCCGGCUGACGCA